UACGGGGGGAGCAAGCGUUGUUCGGAUUUACUGGGCGUAAAGGGCGCGUAGGCGGCGAUCCUAGUCAGAUGUGAAAGUCCUGGGCUUAACCUGGGGACUGCAUUUGAUACUGGAUUGCUUGAAUUCGGGAGAGGAUAGCGGAAUUCCCAGUGUAGAGGUGAAAUUCGUAGAUAUUGGGAAGAACACCGGUGGCGAAGGCGGCUAUCUGGACCGACAUUGACGCUGAGGCGCGAAAAGCGUGGGGGAGCAAACAGG
rnacentral:rRNA from 1 species